CCGCGCCCCAAGUUUUGGGAGGGUUCCGCUCUCCCCACCCGGUACCAGGACCCACCCGGGCCCGCGCUCCCUGCGGCUUCCAGGGACCCUCCAGCCCCCACGCACCCUCCUGCAAAGCCGAGGGUUAAGCUGGGGAAAGGGGGCCUCUAGGAAGGCGACCCCCCUGGAAAUGCCUGGCAGCUCCAAAAACACUAAUGAAACUCAGCUCCAGCCUCCGCCCCUCCAGUUGUGGGUGGCCCCUCUUGCGGUUCGUCUGAGGCUAGGGGACUAGGCGCAUCGCCUAGCGAGACUCCAGUGGCCUUUUCUGUCCAGUUUGUAACCGGAACUAGACCGACCCCGGCCGCCCCCUCCAGUGCUGGGGCGGGUGAGGAAUGGCCCCGCCGGGGAGGCGGGGGAGGGAGGCCUGGGCCACCCUGGGGUCUGACCUUUGCUCCACCUCUUAGGUGCUCACGACCCAGAGUGGUGCCCUGCUUGGUACUGCCACUGGAUCCUCUGGCUUAUGAAGCCGUCCAGGACAGGAAGGGUGGGGGGUGGUCCUUAGUUCUCUUCGUGGGGUCAUGCAGAGUGGUUUCCUCGAGGUCCCACGCCCGUCUCAGGAAGCCAGAAACGCAAGAUGCCGGGCGCUCGGCCCGAACCCGUGCCGCGGCCCAAGGGGCAAGGCGGAUACCGAGGCAAGGCCUAAAGGGCCGGACUCUGACCGCACCCUCCGGACACUGCAGGGCUCCGCCGGCCAGAGGCGGCCUUGGCGCCAACCACACCUAGCAGCGGGGUCCCCGGGCCCACCGAUGCGCCCUCCUAGCCCCGCGCUCCUUCGAGGGGUUCCAAGGUGACUCAGAGACGCAGCUGACACAAUUCUGAGGCCCCCAGGUAAGCCUGGCGAUACCGGAUGGAGAAGUUACCUGGUCUUGAAAGGCCCAGUCCAGCCAGCGAGACCCGCGUGCGCUCCGCGGGGAGGCAAGCCUAACCAGGGGCUCACCUGGAAGCGUCCCCGCCCCCUGGUCCUUAUCUCUGAAUCGAAACCGAACCUGGACCCAUCUAGAUAAUUGGACUGAGCAAUUAAGGACGCUUCGCUCCUAACUGUUAGCAUUUUUUCCUAAGGCUCUCGGAGGCGGAAUCAGCUGGAAAGGAACAUUGCUAAGUAGGAAUUUCAGGCACCUGUGAACUGAGCCCACUCAAUAAUCGGCCCUUUCCCUUAACCAAACUCAGCAAAGGAAGAAAGACCAAGUUGCUGCGGAUGCACAGAGCCACGUGGGUGCGGGUCCUCUAGAAACAGGAAUUCAGAGUCAGUAGAUAUGGAAAUGUUAUGGUUUGCAGUCUUCGGACCAUGCUGCUUUCAUGCUGUUCACAUGAUUCUCCUCGGACUGCGAGAUGUACUGUUCCAUCUGGAAGUCAAGAUUGGUGCCACCUAAGUGAGUUCCUGCUGCAAGGAACUUAAGGACAUCCUCCUCCUUCAUUUGCAGGACAUCAAGGGCUCCGGACAUUGUGAAAGUUUCCCUUUAAGUUACGAUGGGAAUCCAGAACAACGCCGUAUGGACCCCUCUGCAGGUAGCGUGGAAAGGACUUUUUUUUUUUUUUAAUAAGUAGAGAGUAUACUUAAAAGAUAAAAAGCACAGUAUAGUAAGUACAUAAACCAGUAACACACUUAUUAUCAAGUAUUAUGUAUUGCACAUAAUUGUGUUAUAUUUUUAUAUGACUGGCAGUGCAGUAGUUUAUUUAUACCAGCAUCACCACAAACACAUAAAUAAUGUGCUAUGACACUAGUGAUGGGAAUUUUUCAGCUCCAUUAUAAUCUUAUGGGACCAUUGUCACACAUGUCAUCUGUCAUUGACUGAAACAUCGUUACGCGGAGCAUGACUGUAGAUAUUCUCAUACACUGCUUGUGAAAGUAUACAUUGGUUGGGCUACUUUAGAGGGCUAUUUGCCAAUAUUUAUAUGCAUUCUGAGUUUGAGAGAUUCUGAGAACUAUGCUGGAGCCACUUCAUACCAGCUAACAGAGCUGAUUGUGCAUUCAUGUCUCAUUAGUAGUUUGAAAUCGGCCAUGGUGGAAGAAUUCACACCAUGGAAAUUGGCAAAUGCUACAAAUCAGCCCCACUUCCUCUUUUUGGAAGACUGGUUGUUAAACAUUUAUUAGUACUCUAAAGUCUAUUUGACAGUGUCUACAAUAAAAAAAAGAAAGAAAGAAAGAAAAAGCACAUAACCCAUGAUACAGUAUUCCUGUUUUCUAAGAUAUAUUUGUACAUGUAAACAGGGAUGCAUGUUCAAGGAUGUUCACAGCAGCAUUAUUUGCAAUGGAAAAUUGAAGACAACCUAAAAACCCACUCAUUGAUAGUGUAAACCAAAAAGCAUCUGAGACAGGUCUCAAUUGAUUAAGACGUUUACUUUGCCAAGGUUAAGGACCGUGGCCCAUGCUGCAGCCUCAGGAGGUCCUGAGAACAUGUGCCCAAGAUGGUGGGAUUGCGGCUUGGUUUUAGGGAGACAGAAGUUAUGGGCAAAGACAUAAAUCAAUACAUGGAAGGUAUACAUUGGUUUUGGCCUGGAAUAGGGGGACAUCUCAAAGUGGGAGUUGGGGGCUGUUUCUAGGUCACAGGUGGAUUGAGAGAUUUCCUGACUGGCAGUUGGUUCAAAGAGUUAAGCUCUGAGUGAAGAGUUGAAGUCAGCUUGAGUUAUGGUAAGGGGGGAAUGUUUUGGAAGCCAAGGUUUUUGUCAUGUAGGUGAAACCUCCAAAGAACAAGCUUCAGAGAUAAUAGAUGUGACAGUCUCUUAUCUGACCUAAAAGGUGUCAAACUCUGUGGAAAAACCUAGUAGAGGAAGGAGAUUCUCUAAAAAAAUGCAAAUUUCCCCCACAAGGGACAGCUUUGCAGGGCCAUUCAAAGUAUGUCGAAGAAAUAUAUUUUGGGGUAAAAUAUUCUGAUCUCCUUCCGGGCCUGCUGUCUGUCAUGAGAUGUUACAUCAGAGUCAGGUUGGAAUUUGAUCUUAUUGCUACAAAGAGUCUGUUUUGUCGGUCUUAAAAUCUCUGUUUUAAUGUUAAUGCUGGUCAGUUGGGUCUAAACUCCAAAAAGAGAAGGGUAUAUAAUGAGACCUUCCCCCUCUCUUCCUGUCAUGGCCUGAACUUCUAACCACCCCUCUUCCUGUCAUGGCCUGAACUUUUUCAGGUUUUUUUUGGGAUCCCCUUGGCUGAGGGGGUACAUUCAGUUGGUUGGGGAGAUUAGAAUUUUGUUUUUGGUUUAUAAUAGGAAACUCAAAAACAAAAACCUCCAGCCUAUUCUAAAUGGAACACUAUGCAGCAGUUAAAAUUAAUAAACUAAAUUUAUAUAAACUGUUGGGAGAAAAAACUUCUCUACCAAUUUAGGUCCAAUUGGUCGGUGGCCUGUGAAUCAACUGACAAUACACAGAUUAACAGGAGAAAAACGUACUACAUAUGCGAAGGUACCCUAAAGAGAGUAGCUCCCAGAAUAGCUGGGGGGGAAAAAAUCACACAGCCAUAAAAGAGAAUAAAAUCGUAUCCUUUGCAGCGACAUGGAUGCAGCUGGAGGCCAUUAUCCUAAGCAAAUUAAUGCAAGAACAGAAAACCAAAUACCACAUGUUACAAGUGGGAGCUAAACUGUGGAUUCUUAUAGACAUAAAGACGGCAAUAAUAGCUACUAGGGACUACUGGGGUUGAAAGACUAACUACUGGGUACUAUGUUCACUACCCGGGUGACAGAAUCAUUCAUAUGCCAAAUGUCAGCAUCACACAAUAUACCUAAAGUAUCAAACAUGCACAUGGACCCCUAAAUCUAUGAACACAAUUAAUGGCUAAACUUCUAGGUGCAAAACUAGGGAUGGCAUUUGGGCUGUAAAGAAUGGCACAGGCUGUGGUUACCCCAGUAACCACUUUCUUCCAGGACUCACUCAAGGCAAUAGGGACUUGCUUGGUCUUGCCCCUUCUGUUAUGGUUCCAGGGGUGGUUGCCCAAAGGUGAUGCAAGUUGAUUCUCCCAGGGAUGGGUCCCCAGUGAGAGCUCUCAAGCUAUUCAGGGACCUUCAGAGCCAAAUUCCCCUAGCAUUUUGUUCAACUCUUCCCCAUGUGUACAGGGACAAGGAAGGGUUUUGCAUUAUCCUUUCCCAUUUGUUGAAAUUACAUCUAUAAGAACUGAUGAAGAGAAGGGUCAGUUUUUUCCACCUGUCUCAGGGAACUGGGUGGGCCUGAUAACUCUCCCACUACAUGCUCCUGGCCCCAGAUUAUCUGGUUACUUAUUUUUAAACUUCCUGAUAUUAGGGGAAAAGAUUUUUCCCUAAAUUCCCUAUAAGUGAUAUUUGAAGCGGUGGUACGCCACCCAGCAAAUGGCUGUAUCCAGUUUUAAUGGUUCAUAAAGUAACUUAUGAAGUGACUUGUUUUCUUUCAAUUCAAAGGAAGUCUGGGGAAAGGCACCAUUCAUUCAUUCAAGAUGGGGUCUCAAUAUGUUGCCCAGGAUGGUCUUGAACUCCUGGGCUCAAGGAUCCUCCUGCCUCAGCCUCCUGAGUAGCUAGGAUUACAAAUGUGGCAGUUUGAAAGGCACUUUCUUGGUCUAUGUGGUCCGCCUGUACCCAGAUGAUUUGGAGCCUCACCUUUAGUCCCACCCUGGCCAGCCAAACCAGGGUCAGCCUGGGGCUCCAGGAAAAAAUGAAAUGUUACAUGGCCUUACUUGCCUUUUUCUGCUAUUCAUAGGCUGAUAUUGGUUGAUAGUAAAUAUAAACCCACUGGGCAAGUUCAUUUUUGCACAGAGUGACAACCGUCACUGAACUCUGUUUUAAGGGAGGGAUUUUGGUGGGUUUUUUUUUUUGAGACAAGGUCACCCAGGCUGGAGUGCAGUGGCAUGAUCUCGGCUCACUGCAGCCUUGACCUCCUGGGCUCGAUUGAUCUUCCCACCUCAGCUCCCCAAGUAGCUGGGACUACAGGCGUGCACCAUCACGCCUCGCUAAUUUUUUGUAGAGACAGGAUUUUGCCAUGUUGUCCAGACUGGUCUUGAACUCCUGAGCUCAAACAAUUCACCCACUUCAGCCUCCCAAAGUGCUGGAAUUACAGGCAUGGGAGGGAUUUUUUUUUUCUUUAAAUUGAGAUGAGGUCUCACCAUCAUGCCCAGGAUGGUCUUGAACUCCUGGGCUCAAGUAAUCCUCCCAUCUCAGCCUCCUGAGUAGCUGGAACUACAGCUGUGUGCACCACACCCAGCUAAUUGUUCAACAUUUUUGUAGAGACAGGGUCUUGCUAUGUUGCCCAGGCUGGUUUCUAACUCCGGGGCUCAAGUGGUCCUCCUGCUUCAGCCUCCCAAAGUGCUGGGUUACAAGUGUGAGCCACUGUGCUGGGCCAGAAUUUAUUUAUUUAUUAUUUUUAAAGAACCUUCAUUUCCUCUGGCAAUCUGCUUGGGGACAUGCACAUGAAUCUCAUGGGAGAACAAGAAAACGUUUCCUUUUUGUGUUCUCCACUUUCCCUUCCCUUUCCAGAAUCUAGGCCCUGGUGAUUCCCUUCAGGAGGCAGGAAAGCGAUUCCUUGAAGAACAACAGCCGUCACCUUCCUUCCCAGUUGAGCCAGAAAGGCCCCACAGCUCUGCCACAGAUGCUACAGAAAAUGUUUCUGGCCUCAACUCCCCAGGGAGGGAGUAAGCCUUGGGGUUAGUUCAGUUGCACAGUUCCACGUCUGUUAGCAGCCACUGGUUCUCUUACUCCAGCUAUGUUUAGCUUUGUUUGACUAUCUUCCAUGGGAACACAACUGCAUUAGUGUUCCUUUUCUCAGUUCUCCAUUUCAAAAAUUUUUAUUUAUUUAUUUAAUUUCUGAGAGGGGGUCUUGCUCUGUCACCUAGGAUGGAGUGCAGUGGCACAAACACAGCCUCACUGCAGACUCGACCUCCAAGUUCAGCCUCCUGAGUAGUUGGGAUCACAGGCAUGCACCACCAUGCCUGGCUAAUUUUUUUAUUAGUAGUAGAGACAGGGUCUCCCUAUGUUGCCCAGGCUGGCCUUGAACUCCUGAGUUCAAGCAAUCCGCCCGCCUCAGCCUCCCAAAGUGCUUGGAUUAUAGGCGUGAGCCACCGUGCCCCGGUAUCGGUUCUCCAUUUAUAACAACUUGUCACCAAGAACCCGAGACCCAAGCUUGGGUCAAUGGUUGUCCAGCUAGGAUGAGAAUAAUGUGCUGGCUAUCUGGGUACUGUGGACAGCCUGGAAGCCCCAUGUGGCAGCCAACUUACUCAUUUUGCACACUGCACCCAGAGAAGGGUGGCACUGAGUGGAAAGUGAGGCCAAGGUCAUCACAAACAGCAUCAGGCUCUACAAAGAGUGACAGCAACCUGAAGCACAGAGACAGGUCUAACAUGGAUGCAGGAUGUAAGUGACGUUGGACCUAGUCUUAGGUCACAUCUGCAUACAAAAAUCCUCACUACAGGAACUGUCAUUAUUUAAACACAUGAGCAAGGACACAGAUUUUUGAAAUAAGCACUUAUUCUUUUGAAGGGUCUAAAAGGUAGAAUGUAGAGAUGGAAGACAGUAGACCUGAAAUUCCUUCCUGACCACGGCCUUGUACAAAUCUUCUGCCCUGUCUGUCCAGAUGUUUCCUCAUUUUUGACCAGAUGCUAAAGCCUCCAAAUCAGUCAUUCUGAGAUCCAUGCCAAUUCUUAGCCAUGAUUCUAAAAAUAGCCAGAAUAGAAAUAAUAUACAAUCCUCAUAUUUAUGCUUACUUCUUUAAUACAAAAACAGUGUAAUAACAGCAUGAAGGAAAUAAUUUAAUGAUUUUAAUUUUUCAGCCUAAAAUUAUUUUAAACUAAUGGUUUCACCUUGUUCCACUUGAGUAAUCAAAUUCAUAUUUUCCCCCUUGCCAUCUCUCCCCCACCUGCAUCCUGUGAAUCAACAGAAGUUAAAACCCUAACACCAGUGGGAAACAGAAACUAGCCAAGAGCAUGUAAAACAGAAACAAGACAGGCGUGGUGGUGCUGAGGUGGGAAGAUCACUUGAGCCCAGGAGUUCAGGCUGCAGUGAAUAAUGGUUGCACCAUUGCACUCUAGCUUGGGGGACAGCGUGAGACCCUGUCUCUAUAUUAAAUUUUAAAAUAUAAUAAAAGAGAAAGAAAAUGCCUAAUUACAGUUCUUGGUGAAUAAAUGAUGUAAAUGCCCAUAUUUUACUACCUGCUCACGUAUAGCGUUAGUAUUGUAAUCAGAUAGUUUAUGUACCAAACUUGUAAGUUAUGCCAGUUGGGACCAUUUAUCUAACAGGAAGCAGGCCCAGGCAGGUUCCUUUGCAACAAAGGAUGGUUCAAUGUUGCAUACAGUUGAGUUGCCAUGAGAGACAAUUAUGGCCAUCCCCAAAUAAGGAAAACUUGAUUGCACUUAGAUAAAAAUUGCGAUUUUUCAAAUUUUGAGGUCAAAACCUGUAUACUCUACAACUAGAGGUAAGCUUAAGCUAAUUAUGUUCUAUUUGAGUCUUCCCUUCUGCUGACUAAAUCACCAUUUAAAAUAUUUGUAAACCUUGGUUGUAAAGUUGGACACCUAAGAAUUCAAAAUAGCAAUUGUCCCACAAAGCCCCAUCCCUUCCAGUAUUGUGUUCUUUUAGGAAAGUAUUCAAUUAUCUCUCAGCUGAUCCUAAGAUUCCUUCUAUAUCUUGUCCCUUUCAUUUGUUUAGAUAUUUACUAUACACUUUGAGGCUGGGUGCAGCGGCUCAUGCCUGUCAUCCCAGCACUUUGGGAGGCCGAGGUGGGUGGAUCACCGAAGGUCAGGAGUUUGAGACCAGCCUGGCCAACAUGGUGAAACCACGUCUCUACUAAAAAUAUAAAAAUUAGCUGGGUGCGGUGGCGCAUGCCUGUAAUCCCAGCUACUCGGGAGGCUGACACAGGAGAAUCGCUUGAACCUGGGAGGCAGAGGUUGCAGUGAGCAGAGAUUGCACCACUGCACUCCACCCUGGGCGACAGAGUGAGACUCCUUCUCAAAAAUAAAUAAAUAAAUAAAAGGCUGGGCAUGGUGGCUCACACCUGUAAUCCCAGCACUUUGGGAGGCCGAGGCGGAUGGAUCAUGAGGUCAGGAGUUCAAGACUAGCCUGGCCAAGAUGGUGAAACUCCGUCUCUACUAAAAGUAAAAAAAAAAUUAGCUGGGUGCGGUGGCAGGUGCCUGUGAUCCCAGGUACUCAGGAGGCUGAGGCAGGAGAAUCGCUUGAACUCAAAGGGCGGAGGUUGCAGUGAGCCAAGAUCGCGCCACUGCACUCCAGCCUGGGUGACAGAGUGAGACUCCAUUUCAAUAAAUAAAUUAAAAAGAAAAAAAAACAUACAAAAAGAUACUUACUGUACACUUCAGAAAACAGUAUUUUCUAACAUCGGUUUAGCAUUUAUUUCCCUUUAAUUUCUAUUUAUAUUAUUUUCUAAAUGUUCACUCAGGUGUAAAAAAAUAACUUCAACAAUUAAUAGUUUGACAUGAUGUCAGCUAUUUAAGAUACUCAACAUCAUCCUCUGCUUUUCACCACCUUCUUGCAUUUGGGGGUGAAGAGUUAAACUACUUUUUUUUAAUGCUGGAACUCUUUUUGAAUCAUUAUUAAAAUAAGACUGGGGGAAGAGAGGUUAUAUAAAGGAAAUAAAGAGUCUAUAAUGGAAUUUAGGCUUUUGCUGUUACAGCUGAGAAGAACUAGAGCUUCCAAGGAAAGCCUGACCUAAGAAUAAGGCCAAAUCUUUUGCUUCGUAUCAACACAACGCUACCAAAAUCUGGAGUUAUUUUCUGACUUUAUUCUGAAAGCUAACUUUUAGCUUGGCUGGACUGUUUUUUUCUUUUCUUCUCUCAUCUUUCUCUCUCUCUCAUCUCUCUCUCUCUCUCUCUCUCUCUCCUUUUCUUUCUUUUUUAGAGAUGGGCUCUUGCUGUUGUUGCCUGAAGCCCCAAACUCCUGGGCUCAAGGCAUCCUCCUUCCUCAGCCUCCUGAGCAGCUUGGACUUGAGGCCUGUGCUACCACACCUGGCUAACGGGCAGGAAUCUUUCUAAACAGACUGAAUUUAGAGUGCUUAUUGCUCAAGCAGGGAUAAUUUCUACAAGGUCCAGUUCAGGCUGAGAUUUUUAUUUUGUCCCUAAUUUCCUGAAAUCAAAACAAGUGGUUUUAAUCUAGGAUCGCACAGGUAGAAAACCUAGUGGGGUCUCUGGGAACUUUAUACCUGUUUUCUCCUUCCCUGGUCCUUUCUCCAUGCUUUUAUUGUUACCAGGGAGAUGUCCUGGUUUAAUGUAAGUGUCCCUUACAAAACUUUCUAAGAACUUACUCCCAGAAAAUACAAAAAAUGAUGAUAGCCAAUUAGGCAAGAGAGGGGGUAAUUUAGUCUUAUACUUUCUCAGAGGGAAUACAAAUUAAUACAGCCUUCCUGGAGAGGAAUUUGGCAAUGUUUAUCAAAGUUAAAAACUGUGUACUAGGCCGGGUGCAGUGGCUCACGCCUGUAAUCCCAGCACUUUGGGAGGCUGAGGCGGGUCAAUCACUGGAGGUCAGGAGUUCGAGACCAGCCUGGCCAACAUAGUGAAACCCUGUCUCUACUAAAAAUACAAAAAAAAAUUAGCCGGACGUGGUGGCAGGUGCCUGUAGUCCCAGCUACUCAGGAGGCUGAGACAGGAGAAUCACUUGAACCCGGGAGGCGGAGGUUGCAGUGAGCUGAGAUUGCGCCACUGCAUUCCAGCAUGGGUGACAGAGUGAAACUCUGUCUCUAAAUAAAUAAAUAAAACUGUGUACUCCACUUCUGGGAAUUUAUUCAAGGAAAGUCAACUCUUUUCCUAGUUCUAGCCUUCUUUCUGUACAUUAGAUUGAUGGGUCAUUAACUGUUCUUAGUAUGUUUCUGUAUUUUCAUAAUAGACUAUAAUAAACAUAUAUACCUUUGAUAAUAAAAAAUUAAAAAUCAUCAGUAAAUAUAAAAUAUACCCUGUUAGAAACAACUUGCAUUCAGAAGUGCUUAGUGUUAAAUGUGGGGACCACCUGCAACAACCAGUUUUUGGUUUUCUUUUUAAUUCUUGAAAACUCAGUAUACAUUAACUGUAGUUCUUCCAAUGACCUAGGGUUUGGGAAUACAAUUUUAAAAGCCCAUGGCCACUCUUGUAGCUAUUACUUUCAUGGGAUGACCUAAACAGAGUUUCAGACUAUGACAAUGAUUUCCUCUCCUUGUGGCCCAUGUGCUGUUCCUUCACACUUCCACAGACUUCCAUGGGAUAUAUGAGUCAAUACUAAGGUGAUAGCUCUAGUUAUUCCUUCCAAGGACAUCUGGAAUCCGAUUAUCUGAUGAGAUAUUCUAUUGCUCCAUUUUACAGCAGGAGACCUUAUCAAAAUUCUCCUAGAUUACAUGACAGCAGCCCUGGGAACAGAAGGCAAGUUUAAAAUAGUUUUUUUUUUUUCCAAACCACAUUCCUUUCUUGAAUCUAUUUACAGUACUGUUUCAAGAUGUUUUCUGAAGGGUGCACAGGGGCUACAUUGAAAACCUUCUGGUUAUUGUUUGCUAACUGCUGGGAUGGUUUUAAUCAGAGAAGAAGCCAAUAAUUUCAGCUUGGGUGUUAGAAAAGCUCCUGAAAUGUCUCCAAACUGAUUUAGGAGAAACUGCUUAACAGAAGAGGACUUAUUCCUGUCCUGAAACAAACUCCUUAGCAUGGACAUAUGCUGUAAUCACAGACCAAGAUAACCACAUUUUUUGAACAUAUUAUACUCCAAAGGCAUCUUAGAUUUCUAAAUAUUAUCAGUAUCAGAUGACAAAACCUGUUCAACAAGGACCAUAGCCUCAAUAUGCUAGUUGACAGCCUCCGCCGUUAGAAUGUUCUUGGUGUUUGGUAAGUUCUCUAAUAGGACCUACUUUUUAUUACACUAGUUUUUCUUAAAGAAAUUUUUUGAAAGGGGUUUUAUUUUAAUGACUCAGGUAAAAUUUUCUGAGGUAAAAGACCUCACAUCAGUCUCAGCAGACAUCUGCCCCUUCCCAUGAUCCUGACUUGAGGCAAGUGAAGGGAGUCCCUUUGUUGUGAGGCCAAUUUAGUUCUAGGUUCCAGAAAAGCCUGAGUCUCUCAGUAGUUCAGAUCAAACCAGAUGCCCCAGAUUUAAGCAGAACUAAUCCAAAUGCCCAAAUCAGUUUCAGAAAGAGCUCAGGUUUUAACUAGGGUCAGGUACAUCUUUUCUAGGUUAGGUAGGUGCUCCUAUGCCUCAGCUAAGUACAUAGCACUUUGGUCAGCCCUAUAUUUGCAUGAUAAAAGCUUUUUUUUCUACUUUAAAAAUAAUUCCUACAUGAUUUAUCAUGUAUAAAUUCUUAAAACCCCACCCAGGACAAACCACUAUAUCAAGGAUUUCCAUUGCUGAUCUCUCUCACCCUAAUCCUAUUGAAUCCAAGUCUCUGGGGAUAGAGCCCUGGAAGCCUACUUUUUUUUUUUUUUUUUUUUUUUAAAUGUAAAUGCUUUUCUCACGCCUGUAAUCCCAGCACUUUGGGCUUUGGGAAGCCAGGGUGGGAGGAUCACUUGAGCCCAGGAUUUCCAGACCAGCCUGGGCAACAUGGUGAAACCCCAUCUCUACAAAAAAUACAAAAAUUACCUGAGUGUGGUGGCAUGCACCUGUAGUCCCAGCUACUUGAGAGGCUGAGGUGGGAGGCUCGCUUGAGUCCAGGAGCUUGAGGCUGCAGUGAGCCAUGACUGCACCACUGCACUCCAGCCUGGGCAACAGAGCAACACUCCGAAUUUAAUAAUAACAACAAAAAAGUGAAUGCUUUUACAAGUACCCCUUAU
rnacentral:lncRNA from 10 species